rnacentral:rRNA from 1 species
UACGUAGGGGGGCAAGCGUUGUCCGGAUUUAUUGGGCGUAAAGAGCGUGUAGGCGGCCAUGUAGGUCCGUUGUGAAAACUCGAGGCUCAACCUCGAGACGCCGAUGGAAACCAUGUGGCUAGAGUCCGGAAGAGGAGAGUGGAAUUCCUGGUGUAGCGGUGAAAUGCGCAGAUAUCAGGAAGAACACCCGUGGCUAAGGCGGCUCUCUAGUACGGUACUGACGCUGAGACGCGAAAGCUAGGGGAGCAAACGGG